CAAGAAGUAGUUUAAUUAGAAUGUCAG
rnacentral:tRNA from 1 species